AUUGAACGCUGGCGGCAUGCUUUACACAUGCAAGUCGAACGGCAGCGCGGGCUUCGGCCUGGCGGCGAGUGGCGAACGGGUGAGUAAUACAUCGGUACGUGCCCAGCAGUGGGGGCUAGCUCGGCGACAGCCGGAUUAAUACCGCAUACGACCUGAGGGUGAAAGCGGGGGAUCUUCGGACCUCGCGCUCUUGGAGCGGCCGAUGGCAGAUUAGCUAGUUGGUGGGGUAAAGGCCUACCAAGGCGACGAUCUGUAGCUGGUCUGAGAGGACGACCAGCCACACUGGGACUGAGACACGGCCCAGACUCCUACGGGAGGCAGCAGUGGGGAAUUUUGGACAAUGGGCGAAAGCCUGAUCCAGCAAUGCCGCGUGUGUGAUGAAGGCCUUCGGGUUGUAAAGCACUUUUGGCGGGAACGAAAAGGACUGUGCCAAUACCACGGUUCGAUGACGGUACCCGCAGAAUAAGCACCGGCUAACUACGUG
rnacentral:rRNA from 1 species